rnacentral:rRNA from 1 species
GUCCACGCCGUAAACGAUGUCUACUAGCCGUUGGGAGACUUGAUUUCUUAGUGGCGCAGCUAACGCAAUAAGUAGACCGCCUGGGGAGUACGGCCGCAAGGUUAAACUCAAAUGAAUUGACGGGGGCCCCGCACAAGAGGUGGAGCAUGUGGUUUAAUUCGAUGCAACGCGAAGAACCUUACCAGGUCUUGACAUCCAGAGAACUUUCCAGAGAUGGAUUGGUGCCUUCGGGAGCUCUGAGACAGGUGCUGCAUGGCUGUCGU